rnacentral:rRNA from 1 species
ACCUCGAUGUCGGCUCAUCACAUCCUGGGGCUGAAGUCGGUCCCAAGGGUAUGGCUGUUCGCCAUUUAAAGUGGUACGCGAGCUGGGUUCAGAACGUCGUGAGACAGUUCGGUCCCUAUCUGCCGUGGGCGUUGGAUGAUUGAAGGGAGUUGCUCCUAGUACGAGAGGACCGGAGUGAACGAACCUCUGGUGUUCGGGUUGUCACGCCAGUGGCACUGCCCGGUAGCUAAGUUCGGAAUCGAUAACCGCUGAAAGCAUCUAAGCGGGAAGCGAGCCCUGAGAUGAGUCAUCCCUGACCCCUUGAGGGUCCUAAAGGGCCGUUGGAGACCACAACGUUGAUAGGUGGGGUGUGUAAGCGCGGCGACGUGUUGAGCUAACCCAUACUAAUUACCCGUGAGGCUUAACCAUACAACACCCAAGAAGUGUUC